AAAAUUCUCUAUUUCAUUCCCCCAAGCACCAAACAAGCCAGCACCACCCCCUUACUCACCAUCCUCCUCAUCCUCUUCUCCCGUCCUAGCCGAAGAAUCGACAUUGCGACCCUGGCCGAACUCCUCCUCAUCCUCACUCCCAUAUCCCCCAUUUCCUCCCUCCUUGCCCUUCCUCCACACGGGCACCAUCCGACUUCGGUUCAUGGCUUGCCACUCCAUGAACUCUUUCUGUAGACCCGCAAGGUGGCGUACACUGGUUAUCCCAGUGUUGGCAGCCCCGAAGCGAGCCUCGUCUUCUCGAAAGACGAAUUCUAACACCUCCCUCCUAUAUUGUGUAAUUGAUGUCAGUCGAUGUAGGCACUCGCAGUAAUCCAACUCACCUCUCCUUUUCUCCGAGUUCCCAAAGCUCGUAGAUUUCUUUCGCCGCCACCUUCCAAAAGUUCUCAACCUUUGGGGACAAAGGAGAGCCGACUCGGUAAGUCGAAUACCUCUACAAAUAAAAUACAUCAGCUACUGUGAUAUGUUGCUUAAAUGAAAGAAACAUGCAAGGAAGGCGAGGCGCUGUAAAAAGGGCAUGGUCAAGGGGGACCCCUUGGCCAUGCAUCGGCCGAGAACGACGAGGUUCCAGCGCUCAUCAAUGCUUUUGAUAAGCUAUACAAAGCAAUUCGUCAGUAGUCGUAGCAUAUAAAUAAGGUCGCUUACCGCCUGCUUCCUCUCGCUCCUCCAGACCGUCAACUUUCGUGUGACUUCCUUUCGGAAGUCGUGACGGUCAGGGUGCCGAGCAUUGGGCACCCCACCCACUUUGCAGGCGACUGCUGCAUCCUGAGUAGAUGUAGUUAAAUAUCUGGUACGUCACCAAUGGUAAACAAGGUAAACCUACGUGGAUUAUGGAAGCCAGGUUGCUUCCAUAGAAAAGGUCGGAGAAGGGGGUGGUUAAAAAUGCAUGGACCACCUCGCUGGCUAAGUCGCUGCACUUUUGCUGGUAAAUGAACGUCAGAUGACUAAAAGGUUAUGCUGUGUUUGGUUUGAUUAAGUACCGAACUUACAGAGGGGUUCGAGCCCGUUAAAGCAGAUGACGACUGGGAGGCGAACAGACCCUUCAGGAUCGCCAACUCUUUGAGAAUGAGCUCUUGAUUACGCUCCAACUGCAGAAACAUUGACAGAUUG
rnacentral:sRNA from 1 species